UACGAAGGGGGCUAGCGUUGCUCGGAAUCACUGGGCGUAAAGCGCACGUAGGCGGCUUUCUAAGUCAGGGGUGAAAUCCCGGAGCUCAACUCCGGAACUGCCUUUGAUACUGGGGAUCUUGGAGUCCGGGAGAGGUGAGUGGAACUGCGAGUGUAGAGGUGAAAUUCGUAGAUAUUCGCAAGAACACCAGUGGCGAAGGCGGCUCACUGGCCCGGUACUGACGCUGAGGUGCGAAAGCGUGGGGAGCAAACAGG
rnacentral:rRNA from 1 species